GAUGAACGCUGCCAGAAUGCUUAACACAUGCAAGUCAACUUGAACUUCGGUUUGGGUGGCGGACGGGUGAGUAACGCGUAAAGAACUUGCCUCACAGCUAGGGACAACAUUUGGAAACGAAUGCUAAUACCUGAUAUUAUGAUUUUAGGGCAUCCUAGAAUUAUGAAAGCUAUAUGCGCUGUGAGAGAGCUUUGCGUCCCAUUAGCUAGUUGGAGAGGUAACGGCUCACCAAGGCGAUGAUGGGUAGCCGGCCUGAGAGGGUGAACGGCCACAAGGGGACUGAGACACGGCCCUUACUCCUACGGGAGGCAGCAGUGGGGAAUAUUGGACAAUGGACCAAGAGUCUGAUCCAGCAAUUCUGUGUGCACGAUGAAGUUUUUCGGAAUGUAAAGUGCUUUCAGUUGGGAAGAAAAAAAUGACGGUACCAACAGAAGAAGUGACGGCUAAAUACGUG
rnacentral:rRNA from 1 species